AAUUUCUCCCCAGGGUGUGUAGUGGCUUGAAGGUCUUUUUAAAUUGUUGUUGUUAUGUUUUUAUUUUAUUUUACUUUAUUUUUAAAUAGAGAUGAGGUCUUGCUAUGUUGUCCAGGCUGGUCUCAAACUCCUGGGCUCAAGCAGCUCGCCUGUCUUGGCCUCCCAAAGUGCAGGGAUUGCAGAUGUGAGCCACCAUGCUUGGCCCUUGCUAUAUUUUAAAUAGUUAAAAAUACUGUUUUUGUUUUUUUGUUUUUCCUUGCUGAAUACUUGGGAAAAUUGGUUUGUGUCUGUGGCAAAGGAAUUCAACAAUACUUUCAUUUUCAGGUCAGACUAUUUUAAGAAAAUAGAAGACUAUCAUUUACAGCUGGUAUGGCCCUGUGGUGGUGUGGACCCAGACUUCAAACACAGAUGAAGAUCGAAAACUGAUAUCCCGCAUCUGAUAUCAAAAGUUGAAGAAAGUGAACAAAAACAGCAGAGGAAAGUUCAUAAAAGCAGGAUGAGUUGCAGAAAAACUCCUCAGACACCGGAUUAAAGAAGGAAGAGGUUUUUUAUUUGUCCGGGAGCGUCGGCAGACUCGCGUCUUAAGAGCCGAGCUCCCCGAAAAAGAAAUUCCUAGCCCUUUUAAGGCCUUACAACUCUAAGGAGUCUACGUGAAAGAGUCAUAAUAGAUCAAACAAAUUAAGAAUUCAGAGCCCAAUCCUAACUUCAAGCCAAGAAGUAAAAAAAGGAAGAAAAAAUCAAGACGCUCAGAACAGAACUCCAGCAAUAUUGAACCCAGAAAGAAAAUUGGCCAGGCGCGGUGGCUCACGCCUGUAAUCCUAGCACUUUGGAAGGUCGAGGUGGGCAGAUCACCUGAAGUCGGGAGUUCGAGACCAGCCUGACCAACAUGGAGAAACCCCGUCUCUACUCAAAAUACAAAAAAUUAGCCGGGC
rnacentral:lncRNA from 1 species